AAAUUUGCUCAUAAUAUUAGUAAUAACCGACUUCCUGUUGGGUUUCGGAUUUUGCUCCAAGAGACUUUUUUGUAGGUAUUGGAGAGUUACAUGUGUAUACCGAUUUUCAUACAUGUACAUGAAACGUAGCUCGAGGCGCACACCGUUGAACGUGUAUAGGUGGCGCUGUUGAGCCAUUUUGCCACACCCACUUCUGAAACCCAUAUCAGACGUAAAUUUUCACCAGUUCUGAGGUGUGUGCAAAGUUUCAUGACUUUUCGAGCAUGUUUAGGCCCUCAAAAAUGCGAUUCAUUUUGGAGAAGAAGAAUAAUAAUAAUAAUAAAUAUAGCUGCAAGCAGCGAUGGCGGGCUCAAGCCACCAAUGCCAUCGCCACCCCGGUGGCAUCAGGUAAACUGUGCCCAGCGGGCACAUGCAUUCACAAUAUCCCUCUGGCAGUGAGGUUUUAAAGGAUAUGGCAG